UACGUAGGGGGGCAAGCGUUGUCCGGAAUCAUUGGGCGUAAAGCGCGUGUAGGCGGUCCGGUAAGUCCGCUGUGAAAGUCGGGGGGCUCAACCCUCGGAUGCCGGUGGAUACUGUCGGGCUUGAGUACGGAAGAGGCGAGUGGAAUCCUGGUGUAGCGGUGAAAUGCGCAGAUAUCAGGAGGAACACCAAUUGCGAAGGCAGUUCGCUGGGACGUUACUGACGCUGAGACGCGAAAGCGUGGGGAGCAAACAGG
rnacentral:rRNA from 1 species